CCUACGGGUGGCAGCAGUGGGGGAUAUUGCACAAUGGGGGGAACCCUGAUGCAGCGACGCCGCGUGAGGGAAGACGGCCUUCGGGUUGUAAACCUCUGUCGCAGGGGACGAAGGAGAUGACGGUACCCUGUGAGGAAGCCACGGCUAACUACGUGCCAGCAGCCGCGGUAAUACGUAGGGAGCGAGCGUUGUCCGGAAUUACUGGGUGUAAAGGGAGCGUAGGCGGGGAUGCAAGUUGGAUGUUUAAACUAUCGGCUCAACCGGUAAUUGCUACCAAAACUGCAACUCUUGAGUGAAGUAGAGGCAGGCGGAAUUCCUAGUGUAGCGGUGAAAUGCGUAGAUAUUAGGAGGAACACCAGUGGCGAAGGCGGCCUGCUGGACUUUAACUGACGCUGAGGCUCGAAAGCGUGGGGAGCAAACAGGAUUAGAUACCCUUGUAGUC
rnacentral:rRNA from 1 species